rnacentral:rRNA from 1 species
GAUGAACGCUGGCGGCGUGCCUAAUACAUGCAAGUCGAGCGAACAGACGAGGAGCUUGCUCCUCUGACGUUAGCGGCGGACGGGUGAGUAACACGUGGAUAACCUACCUAUAAGGCUGGGAUAACUUCGGGAAACCGGAGCUAAUACCGGAUAAUAUAUUGAACCGCAUGGUUCAAUAGUGAAAGACGGUUUUGCUGUCACUUAUAGAUGGAUCCGCGCCGCAUUAGCUAGUUGGUAAGGUAACGGCUUACCAAGGCAACGAUGCGUAGCCGACCUGAGAGGGUGAUCGGCCACACUGGAACUGAGACACGGUCCAGACUCCUACGGGAGGCAGCAGUAGGGAAUCUUCUGCAAUGGGCGAAAGCCUGACGGAGCAACGCCGCGUGAGUGAUGAAGGUCUUCGGAUCGUAAAACUCUGUUAUUAGGGAAGAACAAAUGUGUAAGUAACUAUGCACGUCUUGACGGUACCUAAUCAGAAAGCCACGGCUAACUACGUG